CCUUACGACCACACCGGCCUGAGUACGCCUGAUCUCGUCUGAUCUCGGAAGCUAAGCAGGGUCGGGCCUGGUUAGUACUUGGAUGGGAGACUUCCUGGGAAUACCAGGUGCUGUAAGCU
ensembl:rRNA 5S_rRNA 5S ribosomal RNA